UACGGGGGGGGCAAGCGUUGUUCGGAAUUACUGGGCGUAAAGGGCUCGUAGGUGGCCAAUUAAGUCAGACGUGAAAUCCCUCAGCUUAACUGGGGAACUGCAUCUGAUACUGGAUGGCUUGAGUUCGGGAGAGGGAUGCGGAAUUCCAGGUGUAGCGGUGAAAUGCGUAGAUAUCUGGAGGAACACCGGUGGCGAAGGCGGCAUCCUGGACCGACACUGACGCUGAGGAGCGAAAGCCAGGGGAGCAAAC
rnacentral:rRNA from 1 species